rnacentral:lncRNA from 1 species
CCCAAAAGUGGUGGCAAGGAAAGUGAACAGUGUUACCUAUUUACUUAUGCCAUAUAUCAUUAAUAAUGGUUCAUGUCAUUCCUGAAAUUUAGUGACCAAACUAUGGCAGAAGUGUAACAUGAGGUUGCUGUGACAUUAGAUAGGACAUCUGUUCUGUUAAUUUAAUUUGUCUCAUUAAAUAUGCUAGCAUGGGAUUAGAUAUUUUUUGAUAAAAGAUCUCGAAGACUAUGCGAUUCAUUUUCUACUGUUGCAAUUCAGAGAUCUUAAAGGGAGCUUUUAAGGAUAUCUGUGCUGUUCUCUGAAGUAGUUAAAAACAGAGUGUAGUCUUCUAUACUUGAAUUUAGAAGCAAUAUUGCAUUUUAUAUCUGACAGAAAUAAAGGUUCUUGAAUGAGUGGAGUGUGGAAAAGAAGGCAGAGAUGCUAUCAGUUGUACUCUGUGGACUAAUGAAGAAAAUGAAGAAGAAAACCCCAUGAUUCACAAAGAAGUAUAGAGGUUGCUGGAUGAUUUAAGGCCAGAUUAACAAAUCACUACAAUGCAAUUGAAGGCUUUAGAUAAUGGGAGGUCAAACAUGUAUUACCAGCUGACUUAAAUUUGAUUUGACUGAAAGAUAAAACUCAGUUACAUGAACCAUAUUAACUGAAAGCCUCUGCUUUACAUUUCUCACUGAUGGCACCCUGGGGAGGUAACUUUCUUGGCAUUUCACAUCCAAUUUAAGCACAUCAUUGAUGAAAAGAUGGCUAAAUUGGUGCGUCAUUUUGUAAUAAAAUAUCUCACAAAUUGUUUAUCUGAUCAAUGGAGAAUGCAGUCUCAAGCUGUUCGGGGCUAAUGUGCACACUGCACUUAAAUAGCUUUCCCUACUUGACCUCAAAGAACAUGACAUACCUCAUGUCAUGAGGCAUACUUUGAAGAACAAUGACACCAUCAAGAAUGAAAUUCAUCCUUCAGAAAGAUCCUGGAAGAUUCUGGGAGGGACAUGAAUGUCAGAGAAUAGCAUGAGGAAACACUAAAACCACAAAUACGUUUCUGUUGAGAUUCUUCCACUAUUAGGAAUAAAUC